ensembl:lncRNA
AUGGCAUGCACACACCUUGCAGAUGCACCUUACAUGUGGCAUGCCUCCUGGGGGGACAAGCUGGAAAUACUGUUCCAGGCCUGGGCCAGGGUCCAGCAGCCCUUAGCCCAGCAGUCCAUCCACUGGAUAGAGGCCAUUGAGGGGUAUGAUACCUCCUCCCAAAAGGAUGAAGUGGUAUCUGCAGACAGAGCUGAGGUUAUCCCCAGGGUGUGUGGAGAUCCACCCCCACUGGAAGGGCCAGAUACCAUCAUGCCUAUCCUCAAGGAAGAUGGAUCCUACCUGCUCUGUGGAUUUUGGGCUGAUGAGCCUGAAGCACCAGCCCAGGCCUGGUCUGAGACUGUGAAAUGUACAAUCCAGCAGCCCAUCUGCUGUGCUGAGGCCAAUGUGGUGGAAGACCUUUCCUACAAAAAGGAGGAAGGGGAGGUGGCAACUGCAGUCCAGGCUGAGCCUAUCCCCAGGGUGUGUGGAGAUCCACCCCCACUGGAAAGGCCAGAUGUCAUCCUGCCUAUCCUGAAGGAUGACAGAUCCUACAUGCUCUGUGGAUAUUGGGCUGUUGAGUCUGGAACACCAGUGCAGGUUUCUGCUGAGCCUUGGCACCUUACAGCCCAGCAGCCCAUCUGCUGUGCUGAGGCCAUUGUGGUGGAAGAUACCUCAAGCCAAAAGGAGGAAGGAGAGGUGGCAUCUCCAGACCUGGCCAAGGCAAACCCCAGGGUGUGUGGAGAUCCACCCCCACUGGAAGGGCCAGAUGUCAUCGUGCCUAUCCUCAAGGAUGAUGGGUCCUACAUGCUCUGUGGAUUUUGGGCAGAUGAUGAUGUUGAAGCUCCAAUCUGGGCCUGUGCUGGGGCCUGGCACCCUACAACCCAGCAGCCCAUCUGCUGUGCUGAGGCCAUUGUGGUGGAAAACCCCUACCACCAAAAGGAGGAAGUGGAGUUGGCAUCUACAGACCAGGCCGAGGCUAUCCCCAGGGUGGGUGAAGAUCCACCCCCACUGGAAGGGCCAGAUGCCAUCGUGCCUGUCCUCAAGGAUGACGGGUCCUACGUGCUCUGUGCAUAUUGGGCAGAUGAACCUGAAGCACCAGACCAGGCCUGGGCUAGGGCCUGGCACUUUACAACCCAGCAGCCCCUCUGCUGUGCUGAGGCCAUUGUGGUGGAAGACUCCUCAAACAAAAAGGAGAAAGUCAAGGGGGCAUCCUCAGAUCAGGCUGAGGCUAUGUCCAGGGUGGGUGAAGAUCCACCCCCACUGGAAGGGCCAGAUGUCAUCGUGCCUGUCCUCAAGGAUGACGGAUCCUACCUGCUCUGUGCAUAUUGGGCAGAUGAGCCUGAAGCCCCAGUCCAGGCCUGGGCUGGGGCCCUGCACCCUACAGCCCAGCAGCCCAUCUGCUGUGCUGAGGCCAUUCUCGUGGAAGAGCCCUCAUCACAAGAGGAGGAAGGGAAGGUGGCACGUGCAGACCAGGCUGAGGCUAAUCAGAGGGUGUGUGGAGAUCCACCCCCACUGGAAGGGCCAGAUGUCAUCGUGCCUAUCCUCAAGGAUGAUGGAUCCUACCUGCUCUGUGGAUACUGGGCAGAUGAGCCUGAAGCACCAGCCCAGGUCUGGGCUGAGGCCUGGCAUGCAAAAACCCAGCAGCCCAUCUGCUGUGCUGAGGCUUUUUGGGUGCUAAGAACUUCCUCUGGUGGAUACCAUGAAACCUGACUCUGUUCAUUCCAGUACCCCAUUUAUAUUAAAGUUUGGUUUUGUUAAUUAUUUGGGUUCAAUAUUUUGCUCCAUAUUCUUUAAACCUCACAAAUACAUGGAUUAGUAUAACACUGGAACCUGGAAUUCUAGGUGUCUUCUGAUAACUGUAGUCAAGAUUGUUCCUAUGCCACAGGACGUGUCUACAUGCAUCAAGUCUAGUGAAAAAAACCAGACAUAGUCCAAUACCAUGUGAGUACAGGUUAAAGCAGACCUGCUGGGAGUGCACAGUAAGGAGGCAGUUCUAAGGUGAAUGCAAGAAUGCAUAUACUCAAGAUGAGCAUGAGAAUCUCUCAAGACAGUGAGGGAGUGUCAUUAGAAAGGCGUGUGGGACUCUUCUGGAAUCUUAGUGAGUGGGGAUAUUCACUUUCAACAACAUAUUAAUGUGUCCCCUUGAAUUUCAUGGGUCUUUCUCCAUACUGGUUUACAAAACAAAGGAAAAUGAUCGGGCCGGCACCAUGGCUCAAUAGGCUAAUCCUCCACCUAGCAGCACUGGCACACUGGGUUCUAGUCCCGGUUGGGGCUCCGGAUUCUGUCCCGGUUGCUCCUCUUCCAGGCCAGCUCUCUGUUGUGGCCAGGGAGUGCAGUAGAGGAUGGCCCAAGUGCUUGUGCCCUGCACCCCAUGGGAGACCAGGAGAAGCACUUGGCUCCUGCCUUCGGAUCAGUGUGGUGUGUCGGUCGCAGUGUGCCAGCUGUGGCAGCCUUUGGAGGGUGAACCAAUGGCAAAAAGGAAGACCUUUCUCUCUGUCUCUCUCUCUCACUGUCCACUCUGCCUGUCCAAAAAAAAAAGAAAGAAAAUGAUCAUUUUCUGUCAGCACAUCAUCACAGGAAGCACACAGGGAACUAUGAAAUUUGGCUGUUUUUCUUCUGCACAGUGCAGUGAGCCUUGGGCCCCUUGCUGCCUGACUGUUGAGCAAAGGGUAGGAGGUGGCCCACAUCCCAGCCAGGCCCCAAUGGUGGU